GCCUGAGCCUCUGGGCAUAUUAACAUUAAUAAAACACAAUUAAGCAAAUGUUAUUAUGUUGCCAGCAACAAAAAGAAUGCCCCUGAGUGUACAACUUCCCCUUGCUGUAAUAAAUAUGCAGACAUGAGAACUGUGCCUUGCAAUUCGUUGCUUAAACAGUCUUAAAAAAACAAAAUACCCACUUUGGUGAAUGCAAAGAAGCCAUCGGGAGUAGACCAAUAGAUAACACACCAAGACCUUUUGCUGGAAGAGGAGACAUGAGAGGCGCAGGUAGGAAAGUUUUGCUUUUUUAUUCUAAUUUACAGGUCUCAGCUGGACAGCUCAGUGUGAGUUGCAGACAAUAAUGCUUAGACCUUUGAGAACGAUUGCAUUUUCUUGUAGCUUCCAUAGUGUGCCACAGUCAAAACUCCACCCUCAGCAAAAAGAACCGAGGAACAAGAACAUUAAGUCUCUUCCCAGAUCGCAUUCCAGCCGAGCUCAUGGACAUCUACAUUUGAGACAAUCAAAGCUGAAGCUGUGGCUUUGCCCCUCACCAUGCUCCUGCUACCCUCAGCAGAGCCCUGAAGAGCUGGGUCAUCAGGAUCCUAUGAGAUCAGCCCUUCCUGGAGAAAUGCAGUGUAAGAAGGGAUAUGAGGUGCCAGGACUCAUCCCACCGUUGAGAGGAGGUUUCCGUUUCUGA
rnacentral:lncRNA from 1 species